rfam:Schistosoma rodhaini strain Burundi genome assembly, scaffold: SROB_scaffold0002299
AUCCAGCUGAUGAGUCUAAAAUGAGAUGAAAUGUGCGUCCUGGAU